rnacentral:rRNA from 1 species
AUUGAACGCUGGCGGCAGGCCUAACACAUGCAAGUCGAACGAGCGGCGGACGGGUGAGUAAUGUCUGGGAAACUGCCUGAUGGAGGGGGAUAACUACUGGAAACGGUAGCUAAUACCGCAUACCAUCAGAUGUGCCCAGAUGGGAUUAGCUAGUAGGUGGGGUAAUGGCUCACCUAGGCGACGAUCCCUAGCGGGUCUGAGAGGAGGACCAGCCAGACUGGAGCUGAGACACGGUGCAGACUCCUACGGGAGGCAGCAGGGGGGAAUAUUGCACAAUGGGAGCAAGCCUGAUGCAGCCAUGCCGCGUGUAUGAAGAAGGCCUUCGGGGUGUAAAGCACUUUCAGCGAGGAGGCGUGACUCGCAGAAGAAGCACCGGAUAACUCCGUGCCAGCAGCCGCGGUAAUAC